GGGUGACCACAUAAUCGGAGGCCACGACUGUUUACUAAAAACACAAUUCUGUGCAAUCACGUAAGUGGUAGAAUAUGGAAUGAAAUUUGCCCGAUGCCAAUAAUAUAAAAUUGAUAAUAUGGUUAAUGUUAUUAAUUGAAAAUUUGGUCAAUGGCGGUCUUAACCUUGAGGAUCCUAAGGUAGCAUAAUCAAUUGGCCUUUAAAUGAGGUCAGGCAUCAAUAAUGUAACGAUGGUCUCACUGUCUCUACUACUUGCUCAGUGAAAUUGAAUUACGCGUGAAGAUGCGCGUUACUUUCGAGAAGACGGGAAGACCCUAUGCAGCUUCUACUG
rnacentral:rRNA from 1 species